AAGCUGCGUGUGAUGACAGCAUAGUUCAGCAGAUGACCCAUGGUGAUCACUGUCUUUCGCUCCUAUCUGAUGCAGCCA
rfam:Phalacrocorax carbo contig150943, whole genome shotgun sequence.